CGCGGCCUAUCAGCUUGUUGGUGAGGUAAUGGCUCACCAAGGCGACGACGGGUAGCCGGCCUGAGAGGGCGACCGGCCACACUGGGACUGAGACACGGCCCAGACUCCUACGGGAGGCAGCAGUGGGGAAUAUUGCACAAUGGGCGCAAGCCUGAUGCAGCGACGCCGCGUGAGGGAUGACGGCCUUCGGGUUGUAAACCUCUUUCAGUAGGGAAGAAGCCUUUCGGGGUGACGGUACCUGCAGAAGAAGCGCCGGCUAACUACGUGCCAGCAGCCGCGGUAAUACGUAGGGCGCAAGCGUUGUCCGGAAUUAUUGGGCGUAAAGAGCUCGUAGGCGGUUUGUCGCGUCUGCUGUGAAAACGCGGGGCUUAACCUCGCGCGUGCAGUGGGUACGGGCAGACUAGAGUGCGGUAGGGGAGACUGGAAUUCCUGGUGUAGCGGUGGAAUGCGCAGAUAUCAGGAGGAACACCGGUGGCGAAGGCGGGUCUCUGGGCCGUUACUGACGCUGAGGAGCGAAGGCAUGGGGAGCGAACAGGAUUAGAUACCCUGGUAGUCCAUGCCGUAAACGUUGGGCACUAGGUGUGGGGUCCGUUCCACGGGGUCCGCGCCGCAGCUAACGCAUUAAGUGCCCCGCCUGGGGAGUACGG
rnacentral:rRNA from 1 species